CUCAGAGCCACUCAGGCAAAGAAUGCACUUUUAGCAAAAAAAAAAAAAAAAAGAAAAGGGAGAAAUGGCCUCAGGUGUAAGCAACUGGAAUCGUUCCUACAUGAUUUCCGGUGGCAGAAACACAACAAGGUGCCUCUCAGAUGACUAGAAGUGAAAUCUCAUGCCUUGGAAUUGCCAGAUAAACAUUCCUUGGCCUUUGUUGUACACAUCCUAAAAAUUAAUAGCAUGAGUUUACUGGUGCAGAGAACCACUGCAAGAAGAAAAUGGUUCACCUAAAGAAAAUUUUUAGUAGUGUCUUUGUAAAAGCCACCCCCAGAGCCUAAAACUGCUGUACAUAUUGGAAUCUUAUAUGACCUGGGGAUUUCUAAAUCUGAAGCCCAUCUGGGAACUCAUCUUGAAACACGGACAAGCCAAGGUCAAGAAUAAGACCAUCUCUCCAACAGACAACACAGUGAGGAGCACCUGAGGAAGUUUGCUGUCAUUUGCUUAGAAGACCUCAUUCAUGAUGUUGCCUUCCCAAGGAAGUAUUUCCAGAUCUCAUGGUUCCUGCACCCUUUCCAGCUCUUGGUGGCCCAUCACGCUAUCAAGAAUAGAGUGAGGUUCUUCCAUGAGAUGGGCUCGCCUGGCUGUCAGAGUGAAUGCAGCAAUCAGCUCAACCACCAGCUGAACU
rnacentral:lncRNA from 1 species